rnacentral:rRNA from 1 species
ACGCUCGACACCUACGGGAGGCAGCAGUGGGGAAUAUUGCACAAUGGAGGAAACUCUGAUGCAGCGAUGCCGCGUGAGGGAAGAAGGUUUUCGGAUUGUAAACCUCUGUCUUUGGGGACGAUAAUGACGGUACCCAAGAAGGAAGCUCCGGCUAACUACGUACCAGCAGCCGCGGUAAUCUGAGCGGGCUGGCAAGGC